GCCCCCAUCGUCUAGUGGU
rnacentral:ncRNA from 2 species